GAUGAACGCUGGCGGCGUGCCUAAUACAUGCAAGUCGAGCGAACGGACGAGAAGCUUGCUUCUCUGAUGUUAGCGGCGGACGGGUGAGUAACACGUGUAUAACCUACCUAUAAGACUGGGAUAACUUCGGGAAACCGGAGCUAAUACCGGAUAAUAUUUUGAACCGCAUGGUUCAAAAGUGAAAGACGGUCUUUCUGUCACUUAUAGAUGGAUCCGCGCUGCAUUAGCUAGUUGGUAAGGUAACGGCUUACCAAGGCAACGAUGCAUAGCCGACCUGAGAGGGUGAUCGGCCACACUGGAACUGAGACAGGGUCCAGACUCCUACGGGAGGCAGCAGUAGGGAAUCUUCCGCAAUGGGCGAGAGCCUGACGGAGCGACGCCGCGUGAGUGAUGAAGGUCUUCGGAUCGUAAAACUCUGUUAUUAGGGAAGAACAUAUGUGUAAGUAACUGUGCACAUCUUGACGGUACCUAGUCAGAAAGCCACGGCUAACUACGUG
rnacentral:rRNA from 1 species